UUGGCACUUUAUAUUAAAUUUAAACACCUUCGCGAACACAUGUGGAAGCAUUGUGUUUCUUCUAAUACGUUAAGUAUAUGCAUUUUGGACUUUAUUUUAACUUUACCUUUUACUCAGAAAAGACUUACCGGAAACGGAUUGUCAUCGUGGCUAACGGCUCUAGCUAGCUUAACACCGGUCAGUCGGGGAAAAGGGGGCUGGACUCCGUCCAGCUUUCUUCCUACAAAAAACGUUGGAAGUUGACAGAGGACAGUCUGCACUGGGACAGAAGAAGACAUCGUGCAGUGAAAAAUUAAAGUUUGUAAAUGUAUAGACUUUAUUGAAUGUCUUUCCAUCAUCAACUUCAUCGUCCCUGCUCCGGCGGGGUCCCUAAGGACAAGUGGAAGACAUCGUCCGGAGACUUCACAGUCCGUCGCCGUCCAAACAUUUUGUCGAAGUUCGCACGGAAAACGGCCUCUGCUGUUUAUUCUGGCCGGACAAAGUCUACACGAUCUCACGAUUCCUUGAGUCGAGAGAGAGACUGCUUUCUUGUCUCGGGCAGUUCCUGUUUUGGUGACUGUUUGUGAAAGACGCCCGGCGAGGAGUCGACGACCCAGUUUUAAAUGAGGAAUUGCUGCGAUUGAGUGGAUUUUCUGCUUUGAAGCCAUGGGAGCCAGAUUUGUGCAGUUCCUGCGACAUCCUCCGAUGGUUUUCUGGAGGAAUGCUUACCAUUCGAGACAGGAAAAAGGGAGCGGCGCGUUUCUGAUUGGCCGCAUUCCCCUGACCCGACGACCCCCCGGUCAUGGCUGUCCCACUGGGACUGAGCCACACAGAGAGUUAUAGAGAGAGAGAGAGAGAGAGAGAGAGAGAGAGUGUGUGACACGAGUUCUGCUCCAACAUCACACUCUGUGAGAAACCACUGAACGAUUUCAAUCAAAAAUCACAUUUUUGUUUCGUUUUUAUGACAGAAAAUGUAGAACAUACAUGUUUGGAACAAUCCCUAUGUGGAGAGGAAGCAGAAACAGUGGGAGUCAACCGUGUGUGUCCUCACAAGUCUGUUAUUCUAGCUCUAAAAAUAUACAAUCUAUAAUAAAUACAUAAGCACAGGCGGGUGUGGCUGAUGAAAGGAGAUCUUACAGUCGCUGAAAGCCUGAAAAUGGACGCUGUGAGAUUGAGACGAACCCAAACGUGACGUCAUGUCACGUGUUCCGGUGAGUUUUCCUUAUUCUCUGCAAAAAUUAGUUUUGUUUUGUUUUUCCUGGAUAUUUGUCUCUGAUUGUAAUUGUGUUAAAUUUUAGCCCGAGUAUCGUGGUGUAUUCUGUUUUUCAUUGUAAGUGUAAUUAUGAAGUAAAAAAAUACAGAAAUUAAAGCACAAUUUUUAAA